CGGCAGGCCUAAUACAUGCAAGUCGAACGAUACUCUUUAGCUUGCUAAAGAGGAAAGUGGCGCACGGGUGCGUAACGCGUAUGCAACCUACCUUAAUCAGGGGGAUAGCCCGAAGAAAUUCGGAUUAACACCGCAUAAAAUCACAGUACAGCAUUGUACAAUGAUCAAAUAUUUAUAGGAUUAAGAUGGGCAUGCGUGACAUUAGUUAGUUGGCGGGGUAACGGCCCACCAAGACCACGAUGUCUAGGGGAUCUGAGAGGAUGACCCCCCACACUGGUACUGAGACACGGACCAGACUCCUACGGGAGGCAGCAGUAAGGAAUAUUGGUCAAUGGAGGCAACUCCUGAACCAGCCAUGCCGCGUUGCAGGAAGACAGCCCUCUGGGUCCGUAAACUGCUUUUAUUCGGGAAUAAACCUACUUAC
rnacentral:rRNA from 1 species